UUCGCAAUGCCCGAAAGGGUGACGAAGCGACGCCGCGUGUGGGAAGAAGGCCUUCGGGUUGUAAACCACUGUCGGGAGUUAAGAAAUGCAAGGGUGCUAAUAGUAUCCUUGCUUGACUAAGGCUCCGGAGGAAGCCACGGCUAACUCUGUGCCAGCAGCCGCGGUAAUACAGAGGCGGCAAGCGUUGUUCGGAAUUAUUGGGCGUAAAGAGCACGUAGGCGGCUAUGUAAGUCGGUUGUGAAAGCCUUCCGCUCAACGGAAGAACAGCAUCCGAUACUGCAUGGCUUGGGUGCGGGAGGGGAGAGUGGAACUUCUGGUGGAGCGGUGAAAUGCGUAGAUAUCAGAAGGAACGCCGGCGGCGAAAGCGGCUCUCUGGCCCAUAACUGACGCUGAGUGUGCGAAAGCUAGGGGAGCAAACGGGAUUAGAUACCCCGGUAGUCCUAGCCGUAAACGAUGGGCACUAAGUAGAGGGGUUUU
rnacentral:rRNA from 1 species